rnacentral:rRNA from 1 species
UGGGUGACCUGCCCUCAGCUCUGGGAUAAGCCUGGGAAACUGGGUCUAAUACUGGAUAUUCACUUCCUAUCGCAUGGUGGGUGGUGGAAAGUUUUUUCGGCUGGGGAUGGGCCCGCGGCCUAUCAGCUUGUUGGUGGGGUGAUGGCCUACCAAGGCGACGACGGGUAGCCGGCCUGAGAGGGCGUCCGGCCACACUGGGACUGAGACACGGCCCAGACUCCUACGGGAG